rnacentral:rRNA from 1 species
AGAGUUUGAUCCUGGCUUAGGAUGAACGCUGGCGGCGUGCUUAACACAUGCAAGUCGAACGGAGUUUUUAAACGGAAGUUUUCGGAUGGAAGUUUAAGAACUUAGUGGCGGACGGGUGAGUAACGCGUGGGUAACCUGCCUCAUACAGGGGGAUAACAGUUAGAAAUGACUGCUAACACCGCAUAAUAUAGUGAAACCGCAUGAUUUUGCUAUCAAAUAUUUAUAGGUAUGAGAUGGGCCCGCGUCUGAUUAGCUAGUUGGUGGGGUAAAAGCCUACCAAGGCGACGAUCAGUAGCCGGCUUGAGAGAGUGACCGGCCACAUUGGGACUGAGACACGGCCCAAACUCCUACGGGAGGCAGCAGUGGGGAAUAUUGGACAAUGGGGGAAACCCUGAUCCAGCCGACGCCGCGUGAGUGAAGAAGUAUUUCGGUAUGUAAAGCUCUAUCAGCAGGGAAGAUAAUGACAGUACCUGACUAAGAAGCCCCGGCUAACUACGUGCCAGCCGCCGC